AUAUAUAAGUGUCAAAAUUGUCGUAACUCAAUUUUCUUUGAAAUUUUGAAGGAAUCUUUUUAAUUCCUAAAGCCCUCAAGUUUUCGCUAUAUUAAAAAUUAUCGUAACUCUUUUAAUAUAUAGAUAAAUUUUUUUAUUGGAUUUUACGAAACCUGACCACUUUUAAUCGUGUGAAUAAGAAAAGUAGAAGCUCCUAACUUAACGUUUUCUAUACGUGAGAUCUAAACCUCUCCAAUCAAUUCACUUUUGAUUGUAGUAGGGGACUUUCUCUCCUUAUCUUUUCUUCUACAUUCUUCUUUUUUUUUUUUUUCUUUCUAAAUUUAAUCCUUCACUGUGUUGAUAUGGAUGCGGAAAUGGAGGAACUUUGGAAGAAGUUUAAUCUUUCUAUAAGAUGGAUAUCAAAAGUUGAGGCAUCAGAAGAGCUUUGUAUAGAAAGUGGUUUUGCACUUACAUAACAUGGAUUUCCUUUCAUCUUUUGACUUUCAAAGCACUAUACAAACAACUGAAAGGGAGCAGAGGAAUCAUGGGAGGAUUGCCUAAAAUUGCUCAAGUGGAUGAACCCAAUUCUUCAAAUUUUCAGGAAAUAAACCCAGCAGGAAAGGGCCCAUGCUACUAGUACCACUGCUCUCAUAUGCAAAAGCAAUUGAAUCAUCGAAAAAGUCCCAAUGUUGUACUUUUGCUUGUUUAAAAACUCUUGGGCUCUGAAAUUGUGCAAAUAGUCAACAACUGGCUUGAUGCUAGGUGGAAAAGGUGGGAACUACUCCAACAAUGCUCAAUUAUCCUUGAGAUUGGAAUUUAGUUUUGAAGGAUCAGACAAUCCACUAUUUCUAAAGGUGUGAGAGAAGGUUGGAAUUCUAAACCAGCUAGAGUUGGUUUUUCCUCAAAAAAGCUUCAGUUUUUGGCAACUGCUACUUGGGAUGUUCUACCACUACCUAAUGGAGCAUCAGGUUUUUUAUUAAAAUCAGAAUAUUACAUAGGUACUUAAACAGUUUGGAAAGUCUCACUUGCUGAUAUUGGAGUAACCCUGUGUUGUGAGAUCAUUUAAAAAGUAAUCAGGUAGAAAUAGGUUGGGGCUGCUCUAAUCCUUGAGAUUUGAAUUGAUUUUUGAAGGAUCAAACAGUCCAGGAUUUUGAAAGAAAUGAGACAAGGUCAGAAUUCUAAAUCAGACAAGAGCGAUGUUUCUUCAGGAAAAAAAAAAAAAAUCUGGUACUACUUAUGCAUCUACAAGGAAAAAAUUGACUUAAUUCUCUCAAUCCUUAUAUUGUCAGAUUAAGAAUCCUUUUUGUUCUUUCUCCAUUGACAGAUUUUGUUUAUUACAAGAAAUAUUCAAUUUGCAUGCAAGAAUAUGCUACGAAUGGAACAAGUUUCAUCAUCUACCAGUACCUUUUUGAGGAUAUCUAAAAAGCUUCUUUUUUUUCUUUUUUUCUUUUUUGAGAAUGAAAAAAGAAAAAGCUUUUUAGAAAUUUCUAAAAAGCUUAGUGGUUAAUUUUUCAAAGAUGUUUAUCAGUUUUUUUUUUUUGGGAGAAUCUGUUUGAAGAUUUGAUUUUGAUAUAUAAAUUGAUACAUAUUAUGUGCGGUUA